CGGCGGCGCAGUAUUCUAGUCAGAUCUGCCGUUUCCUAGGGAGGGCCUAAAAAUCCUCUGAAGGGCACACCGAUGAAACCUCUGGUGCCUGCUUGAUACGCCCAGUUUUGGGUGGGUGCUGGGGGGAAGUGCGCCAUGCGCGCUUGCGGACUCAGGGCGCUUUCCAAUGGCAUGGUUAUCCCGACCCUGUUUCCGUGGAGACCUGUUCUUGUGCACAGUCGUACUCCCAUCGUGGUAUUUCCGAACUGUGUACGAAGCAGAUGAUGAACCUGCAAUGCGGUGCAUCGGUCCUGCGGGGCCGUAACGCUGUGUGCAGAUGUAGCCUGCCUUGAGUGGGUAUGGCGAAUGAGAGGCCAGGCCGAAUUUGCUCCCGGCCGGAGCGAGAGGCCCCCUGCUCUCUGAAACCAUGGCUGCAAAAGAGGCUAAAGAAGCGGAUGGACUGUGGUGGAAAUCACCUAGGCUGUUCCAUCGAGACAGAAAAGGGAUUGCAGUGCGGACUAAGUGGCAAUCGGGUAGCGUGUUCGGGCAACGACACGCCGCUGCGCCGAAGGGGGAACCGCCUCCAUCGGCAACGAGGGGUGCGCCGCGGGGAAAACCAACCCGUACCUAAGCCGUAAGAUUUACCUUUUUUGUCGCCGCC
rnacentral:sRNA from 1 species